rnacentral:rRNA from 1 species
UGGCGGACGGGGUGAGUAACGCGUGGGUAACCUGCCUUAUACAGGGGGAUAACAACCAGAAAUGGUUGCUAAUACCGCAUAAGCGCACAGGACCGCAUGGUCCGGUGUGAAAAACUCCGGUGGUAUAAGAUGGACCCGCGUUGGAUUAGCUAGUUGGCAGGGUAACGGCCUACCAAGGCGACGAUCCAUAGCCGGCCUGAGAGGGUGAACGGCCACAUUGGGACUGAGACACGGCCCAGACUCCUACGGGAGGCAGCAGUGGGGAAUAUUGCACAAUGGGGGAAACCCUGAUGCAGCGACGCCGCGUGAAGGAAGAAGUAUCUCGGUAUGUAAACUUCUAUCAGCAGGGAAGAUAGUGACGGUACCUGACUAAGAAGCCCCGGCUAACUACGUGCCANCAGCCGCGGUAAUACGUAGGGGGCAAGCGUUAUCCGGAUUUACUGGGUGUAAAGGGAGCGUAGACGGACUGGCAAGUCUGAUGUGAAAGGCGGGGGCUCAACCCCUGGACUGCAUUGGAAACUGUUA